rnacentral:rRNA from 1 species
AGAGACAGCAGUAGCCACGGGAAUACAGAGGGUGCGAGCGUUAAUCGGAUUUACUGGGCGUAAAGCGUGCGUAGGCGGCUUCUUAAGUCGGAUGUGAAAUCCCUGAGCUUAACUUAGGAAUUGCAUUCGAUACUGGGAAGCUAGAGUAUGGGAGAGGAUGGUAGAAUUCCAGGUGUAGCGGUGAAAUGCGUAGAGAUCUGGAGGAAUACCGAUGGCGAAGGCAGCCAUCUGGCCUAAUACUGACGCUGAGGUACGAAAGCAUGGGGAGCAAACAGGAUUAGAUACCCGCGUAGUCCCUGUCUCUUAUAC